rnacentral:rRNA from 1 species
UACGUAGGGGGCGAGCGUUGUCCGGAAUCAUUGGGCGUAAAGCGCGUGUAGGCGGUUCGGUAAGUCUGCUGUGAAAGUCCAGGGCUCAACCCUGGGAUGCCGGUGGAUACUGCCGAACUAGAGUGCGGAAGAGGCGAGUGGAAUUCCCGGUGUAGCGGUGAAAUGCGCAGAUAUCGGGAGGAACACCAAUUGGCGAAGGCAGCUCGCUGGGGACGUUACUGACGGCUGAGACGCGAAAGCGUGGGGAGCAAACAGG